AUCCUUUUGUAGUUCAUGAGGAUGAUGAUUGGGUAUUUCACACAUGUGUGUGAAAUGUGCCACCCUCAAACCUUGUUACAAUGUCAGCAUAUUACCUGCCUGACC
rfam:Macaca mulatta chromosome 17, whole genome shotgun sequence.